rnacentral:piRNA from 1 species
UGCUUCUGGCUCUACAAGAGUGAGGUGGUC